rnacentral:lncRNA from 10 species
ACACGAACACCUAAAAUAUCACACGUGGGCUUUGAGCUCACUGCCUUCACCCACUGCAGUGUGAGAACGCUGGCAACAGGGCUUCGGUUCCCCAGAUGUCAGCAGCCAGGACUGGGUACAUUUCUUUAAAUGGCGCCCGCAAACGAAGUCCAGAUCGCUUGGAUGCAGCCCCCUACAUUGGAAAGCGUCCUUCCCAGGAAAGGUAAAGUGAACAGAGUUAUCUGUGACAUUCCAUCAGGCACCUAUGUAACGAAAUCAUACCGUAAUAACUCACCAUGGCGUAUGGAGUGCCAAGAAAGAACACAGUGAAAACCAUUUUGCGGGGCAGUUGUUAUAAUGUACAGGAACCUUGGGAUAUUGCAUUGCUUGCAAAGACCUGGUCCACAAACCUAGCCAAUAUCAAGUUGCCUUUCUUGGAAGAAAUUUCAUUUGGUGGUUCUGUGCAGCUCACAAAAUGUACCACCAUUAAAGAUGGACUGCUCCCUUCUGCAGAAUCUAUCAAACUCGAAAGGGAGUAUGAAGUGAAGCGUCUUUGUAAACUGAAGUGUCAAGAAAAUACAUCUAAGGAAAUUCAGCUUCUCCUGAGGGAAAGGCCAGCCGGUUUGAGAAGACCUCUUCCAUCUAAAUGACAGUCAGUUCAUGAUUGAAUCUGUACUCUGUGUCUUGCAUCCAAAGGGCAUGAAGGUCUCUGGACCUUUCACUAUGUAUAGUUCAGGGCAGAUAUUUGAAUGCCCACUGGUGGAUGGGCCACUGCCCACAGCUGUGGGUUAGUACCCAGUUCUGACAGAUCUUCUGAGUCCCUGACAUACUCUUGUUCCUUGUGUCACAAACGACAGCACUGUAAGUAGAUGAAAAUGCAUUUGGAGUUGAGUCGUUUGUGCUAUUCAUUUUAAUUUUUGUAAAAUUGCACUAAAAGAAGAGGAAAUUUCUUCAGCUGCAUUGUUUUCAAAAGACAUCUUAAAUAUGCAUCUUUGAGAUCCCAAGGAGGGACCAAAAGAAGGCAAGAGAGAAAUUCUCUUAAAAAUGAUAAACUGAAACAUUUCAUUUGGUUAAGAAAAAUAAUAGACUUCAUUUUUAGUACCUCCCUAGUUUCCAAUUUUCUUUUUUUUAAAUAUAUAUAUUUUUUAUUGUACUUUAAGUUCUAGGGUACAUGUGCACAACGUGCAGGUUUGUUACAUAUGUAUACAUGGGCCAUGUUGGUGUGCUGCAUCCAGUAACUCAUCAUUUACAUUAGGUAUAUCUCCUAAUGCUAUCCCUCCCCCAUACCCCCACCCCACAACAGGCCCCCGUGUGUGAUGUUCCCCUUCCUGUGUCCAAGUGUUCUCAUUUUUCAAUUCUCACCUAUGAGUGAGAACAUGCGGUGUUUGGUUUUUUGUCCUUGUGAUAGUUUGCUGAGAAUGAUGGUUUCCAGCUUCACCCAUGUCCCUACAAAGGACAUGAACUCAUUAUUUUUUAUGGCUGCAUAGUAUUCCAUGGUGCAUUUGUGCCACAUUUUCUUAAUCCAGUCUAUCAUUGUUGGACAUUUGGGUUGGUUCCAAGUCUUUGCUAUUGUGAGUAGUGCCACAAUAAACAUACGUGUGCAUGUGUCUUUAUAGCAGCAUGAUUUAUAUUCCUUUGGGUAUAUACCUAGUAAUGGGAUGGCUGGGUCAAAUGGUAUUUCUAGUUCUAGAUCCCUGAGGAAUUGCCACACUGUCUUCCACAAUGGUUGAACUAGUUUACAGUCCCACCAACAGUGUAAAAGUGUUCCUAUUUCUCCACAUCCUCCCCAGCACCUGUUGUUUCCUGACUUUUUAAUGAUCCUCAUUCUAACUGGUGUGAGAUGAUAUCUCAUUGUGGUUUUGAUUUGCA